GGUUUGAAGUAUUAUGUU
rnacentral:snRNA from 1 species